UUUUUGGGGGCUUGCAUUUCCUUCAGUUUAUGCUCUUCCUUUGGUUCAUGUAUGAUGCUAGACAGAUUUGAGUGACUAAGUCUCAUGUAUGAUGUUAGGCUGAGUUGUAAAGUGUGCGCAAAUGUAGUUCUCAUGUUUGUUAUUAGGUUGUGUAUCAUCUAGUGUAUUGAUUUCCCUAACCAAUACUCUCACAGGUCUCCAUAUGUUUUUAUGCUUAUCUUAUUCAGUCUCACUUAUCCGACAUUUUUCUUUAAUUUGUUAGCUUGUUAGCUUGAUUAAAAAAAUUAUUGAUAUGCUCAUUUUCUUUGUAGGUUUUGGGCUCAUAUCGUGAUGGCAUAUGAAUUACUCUUUUGUUGCUGCGGAUAGGGUUUAUCAUACAAGCACUUCUGAAUCCUCAGUUGCAAUUUCUUUACAUCAAUGAUACUUCUCUUCUCACAUGCUAUUCAGUUUGUAACUCUUUGUAUUUUUUCUUAUUAACAUUUCUCUUGGUAUAUCAAAGACCAAACUGACUAUGUAAUUGUCAGUUGUACCUGCAUUUGAGAAGAUAAUGGAAUUGUUACUUAUUUGCUC